UACGUAGGGGGCAAGCGUUGUCCGGAUUUAUUGGGCGUAAAGAGCGUGUAGGCGGUUCGGUAAGUCUGUCGUGAAAUCCUGAGGCUCAACCUUGGACGUGCGAUGGAUACUGCCGGGCUAGAGGAUGGUAGAGGCGAGUGGAAUUCCCGGUGUAGCGGUGAAAUGCGCAGAUAUCGGGAGGAACACCAGUAGCGAAGGCGGCUCGCUGGGCCAUUCCUGACGCUGAGACGCGAAAGCUAGGGGAGCGAACAGG
rnacentral:rRNA from 1 species